GACGAACGCUGGCGGCGUGCCUAAUACAUGCAAGUCGAACGCUGAAGCUUGGUGCUUGCACCGAGCGGGUGAGUUGCGCACGGGUGAGUAACGCGUAGGUAACCUGCCUGGUAGCGGGGGAUAACUAUUGGAAACGAUAGCUAAUACCGCAUAAGAGUAGAUUUUGCAUGACAUUUGCUUAAAAGGUGCAAUUGCAUCACUACCAGAUGGACCUGCGUUUUGUUAGCUAGUUGGUGAGGUAACGGCUCACCAAGGCAACGCUACAUAGCCCAACUGAGAGGGUGAGUCGCCGCACUGGGACUGAGACACGGCCCAGACUCCCUCGGGAAGGAGCCAGAGGGAAACGGCGGGAAUGGGCGGAAGUCUGAGCGAGCAACGCCGAGGGAGGGAAGAAGGGUGUCGGGUCGGAAAGGUCUGUUGUAAGAGAAGAAAGAGUUUGAGAGUGGAAAGUUCACACUGUGACGGUAUCUGACCAGAAAGCGACGGCUAACUACGUG
rnacentral:rRNA from 1 species